rnacentral:rRNA from 1 species
UGCGCAGGCGGACUUUUAAGUCAGUGGUGAAAUCCCGAGGCUCAACCUCGGAACUGCCAUUGAUACUGGAAGUCUUGAAUUUGGUUGAAGUGGGCGGAAUGUAGCAUGUAGCGGUGAAAUGCUUAGAUAUGCUACAGAACACCGAUCGCGAAGGCAGCUCACUAAGCCAAUAUUGACGCUGAGGUACGAAAGCGUGGGGAGCGAACAGGAUUAGAUACCCUGGUAGUCC